rnacentral:rRNA from 1 species
GACGAACGCUGGCGGCGUGCUUAACACAUGCCAGUCGAACGAAAAGGCCCUGCGUUUGCUUGGUUCUCGAUUGGCGAACGGGUGAGUAACACGUGUGUAAACUGCCCUUGACUUUGUGAUAACUUCAGGAAACUCGGGCUCAUACCCGAUAGAAGCUCCUGCUGCAUAGGGGGGGUUGGUAAGUUUCGGCGGUUGGGGAUGGACUCGCAGCAUAUCAGCUUGUUUGUGAGGUAGGUACUUUCCAGGGCUAUGACGGGUAGCCGGCCUGAGAGGGUGACCGGCCACAAUACGACUGCGAUACGGCGCAGACUCCAACGGGCCGCAACAGUGGAGAGUAUUACACAGUAGCCGGAAGCCAGAUGUAGCGACGCCGCGUGCGGGAUGAUGGCCUACGAGUUGUAAACCGAUUUCUCAGUUGCCGAGCAGAGAGUGACGGUAAUGGGUCAAGAAGCCACGGCUAACUACGUG